rnacentral:rRNA from 1 species
GACAGAGGGUGCAAACGUUGCUCGGAAUCACUGGGCGUAAAGGGCGUGUAGGCGGGCAUGCAAGUCAGGCGUGAAAUCCCUGGGCUCAACCCAGGAAUUGCACUUGAAACUGCAUGUCUUGAGUAUCGGAGAGGAAAGCGGAAUUCCUGGUGUAGAGGUGAAAUUCGUAGAUAUCAGGAGGAACACCGGUGGCGAAGGCGGCUUUCUGGACGAUAACUGACGCUGAGACGCGAAAGCGUGGGGAGCAAACAGGAUUAGAAACCCCCGUAGUCC